CUGGAUGUGAGGUCCAUCUGGCUGUGGACAGCUGUCACCCCAGUGAUCACCAGGGUUGGUUCCGCUGAUCUCGUGGGCUGGGUGGUGUCCCCAUCUCCCUCAUGGCUCCAAGUGUGUCACCCCUGAAGCUGUGCACUGGGUAGAAGAGGAUGACCUUCCCCGAAAGAGGCGGACCUUUCUUCAGUCAAGGUUUCAAGAGUAGCUGCACUCUCCUGCUAGAACCUCCAAAUGUGCUCUCAAGGGUUUUUGUAGGAGAACGGGACUCCAGGACUCCAGACACAUCCAAAUGAGGUGCUGCAUGUGGCAGUCUGUCUUUCUUAUGUUGCAGGAAAUUCAGGGCGUGGUAUAUAGUUAAAGGACAAAAACACUUACUCCAUUAGAGGAGGGAGAGAGGCAUCAUGGGAAUAGAGAAGGUAAAACAUGGAGGCCAGCUGAGUUCAUGUAGCAAAAUAGAAAGAACCUAUGUAAACUCCUAGACUUUUCAUUCUUCCUCAAAUUUAUAGGUAUUCAGUGUAUUCACCGUCAUUCCUUUCCCCCCACGUAAUUGUUUACUGGAGCUUUAUAAUUUGAAAGUGAUGUUAUCUUUUGGGAAUGUGGAGGAGGGUAGCUCUUUCUUUAAUUUCAGUGAUGCCAAAUGUCUGCCAGUCAUCUGGCCAGGAAAAUCAGGGCUGUUUACUGUUGCUGCCAUUCCGUGAUCACAUUUCCCUUCACUAAAUGGUGGUGUCUGGUGCUUAGCUCACAUUUCACACCAGUUGCCCCGUUGCUGUUGGAAGCUAAAUCAGCAUGUUGAGAAGCAGCAAGUGGCACCUAAUGCCCGUCUUGAGAAAAGUCACCACGUUUGAGUCACCUCGAAGGUCCUCAGCUGCUCUCCCUGAAGGGAUUGAGAGGUGCUCGCUGAUUUGAAACAGCAUUUCUCAGCUGCGGGGAAGGCACACUGAGUAAAUACUGGAAGGAGGACAGUUUAAAGACAUAAAGGCAGUUUCUGUCAAGGCAGGCCAUACUUUUCCUCUCAGCUGCACGCACACGGGAGGAAUUAGCCCUGCGAUCUGCCAGUGUUUUAUAGCCACAAAGAACAAAUAGAUAACUACUUCAGUUGGAUCCCAUCAAGAUAUACAACCGCGUGGAACUAAAUCGGGAACUCUGGACUGAAGCUUCCUGACACCCUCUUCUUCUUUUUUUCCUGUAUUAAGCUAUUUAGCCGACUCUUCCGAUUUACUCUCUUGGAAAGGUUCCUUGUCAUAGUGUUCUGUUCACUCUCCUUAAUUUUAUCCUCUUAUUUUUUGUCUCAGGGGUCUCUCCAGUCCUCUUUCCAUUCCCAUUUUCUCUAAAGCUCAUCUUAGCUUUUCAUCCUUUUAAUCACUAUGCAAGACACCUUGCUCCAUGUGGCCAAACUGGUUUCUCAACUUUUUGUCCAAACGUGGCCCACAUGAUUCUAGCAAGUAACUCUUCUUUUUGGGUAUUUCUAGUUUUGUUUGAAAAAUAGGGUGGAGGGGGGAGAGAAGUCAGAGUGGACCAUGUGCGACUGGAGGGAGAGUAAAUAAUUGGGUGAUGCCCAUACAUUGUUGUGAUUAAAUAAACUCCCCACAGUAUGCCUCGGGUUCUCUCCAUAUUAGGUCCAUUGGCUGUUUCAUCCAUUUUUGUGAAAGAACCAUUAGAAGUUAAUUUUAUAGCUGUGAUAUUUUAUGAAAUUUUUUUUAAAGUACAAAUGUUCUGUUAAAGUACUUAUUGAGUACUCAUAGAGAUAAUAUCUGAAGCAUUAAAUUUUAGCCAUCUCGUGUGGAAUUUAUUUUUUAAAAGACAAAUUUUAACUUUGGUGCAAUUAUAGUCCUGUAUUUCUUUUGAUCAAUUUCAGUCUUGCCGUACUCUGUUUAUAUUUUACUAAAAUUAAAAAAAGAACAUUAAAAA